AUACCUGAUUCCCUAGUACGGCGAGUGAAGAGGGAAAGCUCAAAGUUGGAACCUGGCUGCCCUAGGCAGUCCGGAUUGUAAACUAAAGAGCGUGAUUCCAGGCAAGCCGGUUGACCAAGUCCUUUGGAAUGAGGCGCCACUGAGGGUGAGAGCCCCGUAAGUCGACUGAGCAUUUGUCUUUUGUGCUUCGCGUUCAAAGAGUCAGGUUGUUUGGGAAUGCAGCCUAAAGCUGGUGGUAAAUCCCACCUAAAGCUAAAUACAGGCGAGAGACCGAUAGCGAACAAGUACCGUGAGGGAAAGAUGAAAAGAACUUUGAAAAGAGAGUUAAACAGUAUGUGAAAUUGCCAAGAGGGAAGCAUUUGGAGUUAGAUUGACUAGGAGUUAAUCAGCUUGGUCUUUGGACUGGGUGUACUUGACUUCUUACAGUCUGCCAAUAGCAGUUAGUCCUAGUGGAAAAAACCAGAGGGAAGGUAGUCCUUCGGGAUGUUUAUAGACCUUUGGAAAAUACACUGGGAUUGACUGAGGAAUGCAGUAGAUGCCACUAAGGCUUCGUCUAGUGGGUGCUAGGCAAAGGUACUUGGUAUUUUCAGCUUGCUGAUGUGCUAGGUUACUCGAGUCUAGUCGCCUACUAGAACUGUAAUCUACUUUGGUUAUUGGCUUAAUGACUCUAAAUGGCCCGUCUUGAACACGGGAACAAAA
rnacentral:rRNA from 1 species